CCUAAGUUCCCAUAUCAAACUGCUCAGUAACACAUGAUCAACUUACCCUAUAGAGAAAAACAACCUCGGGAAACUGAGGAUAAUGUUUCAUAAUUGAAUUGGCUUGGAAAAGUUUUUCAAUGAAAGGGAUAAAAAAAUGGUUUUUAUCUGCUAUAGGAUAGGAUCGUGUUCCAUUAUGGUUGUUGGUGAAAUAAUGGCUCACCAAGCCCAUAAUCGAUAGGGGCCGUGAGAGCGGGAGCCCCGAGAUGGGUACUGAGACAACGACCCAGGCCUUAC
rnacentral:rRNA from 1 species